GAACUGCCAUCUCAGUCUUUCUUUUGUUAAUUCAUCUAGCCCUUCAAUAAUUGGUUCAAAAACUUGUAUAUCAUCUAGGAUGUUACAUUUUCUUUCUAUAGCAUUUAAUGGUCCUUUUUCUAACAAGUAAGACCUUUAUGCAGGGCAGCAAAUUAAUAUUGCCUAAAACUGUUACUACAUCUGUCAAAGGUAAUCUGCUUGGUCUUCUAAACGUUCUCUGCUUCAGCAACACCCACUUCAUUUUCUUGAAGUGUUUGUUUCUUAGUUGCUUUGUUAUUUCAUCUGCAUAUUCAUUUAUUUUAGUCAGUUCUUCUUCUAUAAUUCUAUUA
rnacentral:lncRNA from 1 species